rnacentral:rRNA from 1 species
UUAAGCGACUAAGCGUACACGGUGGAUGCCCUGGCAGUCAGAGGCGAUGAAGGACGUGCUAAUCUGCGAAAAGCGUCGGUAAGGUGAUAUGAACCGUUAUAACCGGCGAUGUCCGAAUGGGGAAACCCAGUGCAAUUCGUUGCACUAUCGUUAACUGAAUACAUAGGUUAACGAGGCGAACCGGGGGAACUGAAACAUCUAAGUACCCCGAGGAAAAGAAAUCAACCGAGAUUCCCCCAGUAGCGGCGAGCGAACGGGGAGCAGCCCAGAGUCUGAAUCAGCUUGUGUGUUAGUGGAACGGUCUGGAAAGUCCGACGGUACAGGGUGAUAGUCCCGUACACCAAAAUGCACAGGCUGUGAACUCGAAGAGUAGGGCGGGACACGUGGUAUCCUGUCUGAAUAUGGGGGGACCAUCCUCCAAGGCUAAAUACUCCUGACUGACCGAUAGUGAACCAGUACCGUGAGGGAAAGGCGAAAAGAACCCCGGCGAGGGGAGUGAAAAAGAACCUGAAACCGUGUACGUACAAGCAGUGGGAGCACCUUCGGGUGUGACUGCGUACCUUUUGUAUAAUGGGUCAGCGACUUAUAUUCUGUAGCAAGGUUAACCGUAUAGGGGAGCCGCAGGGAAACCGAGUCUUAACUGGGCGUUAAGUUGCAGGGUAUAGACCCGAAACCCGGUGAUCUAGCCAUGGGCAGGUUGAAGGUUGGGUAACACUAACUGGAGGACCGAACCGACUAAUGUUGAAAAAUUAGCGGAUGACUUGUGGCUGGGGGUGAAAGGCCAAUCAAACCGGGAGAUAGCUGGUUCUCCCCGAAAGCUAUUUAGGUAGCGCCUCGUGAACUCAUCUUCGGGGGUAGAGCACUGUUUCGGCUAGGGGGUCAUCCCGACUUACCAACCCGAUGCAAACUACGAAUACCGAAGAAUGUUAUCACGGGAGACACACGGCGGGUGCUAACGUCCGUCGUGAAGAGGGAAACAACCCAGACCGCCAGCUAAGGUCCCAAAGUCAUGGUUAAGUGGGAAACGAUGUGGGAAGGCACAGACAGCCAGGAUGUUGGCUUAGAAGCAGCCAUCAUUUAAAGAAAGCGUAAUAGCUCACUGGUCGAGUCGGCCUGCGCGGAAGAUGUAACGGGGCUAAACCAUGCACCGAAGCUGCGGCAGCGACACUAUGUGUUGUUGGGUAGGGGAGCGUUCUGUAAGCCUGCGAAGGUGUGCUGUGAGGCAUGCUGGAGGUAUCAGAAGUGCGAAUGCUGACAUAAGUAACGAUAAAGCGGGUGAAAAGCCCGCUCGCCGGAAGACCAAGGGUUCCUGUCCAACGUUAAUCGGGGCAGGGUGAGUCGACCCCUAAGGCGAGGCCGAAAGGCGUAGUCGAUGGGAAACAGGUUAAUAUUCCUGUACUUGGUGUUACUGCGAAGGGGGGACGGAGAAGGCUAUGUUAGCCGGGCGACGGUUGUCCCGGUUUAAGCAUGUAGGCUGAUUAUCCAGGCAAAUCCGGAUAAUCAAGGCUGAGGUGUGAUGACGAGGCACUACGGUGCUGAAGUAACAAAUGCCCUGCUUCCAGGAAAAGCCUCUAAGCAUCAGGUAACAUCAAAUCGUACCCCAAACCGACACAGGUGGUCAGGUAGAGAAUACCAAGGCGCUUGAGAGAACUCGGGUGAAGGAACUAGGCAAAAUGGUGCCGUAACUUCGGGAGAAGGCACGCUGGUGUGUAGGUGAAGCCCCUGCGGGUGGAGCUGAGACCAGUCGAAGAUACCAGCUGGCUGCAACUGUUUAUUAAAAACACAGCACUGUGCAAACACGAAAGUGGACGUAUACGGUGUGACGCCUGCCCGGUGCCGGAAGGUUAAUUGAUGGGGUUAUCCGUAAGGAGAAGCUCUUGAUCGAAGCCCCGGUAAACGGCGGCCGUAACUAUAACGGUCCUAAGGUAGCGAAAUUCCUUGUCGGGUAAGUUCCGACCUGCACGAAUGGCGUAAUGAUGGCCAGGCUGUCUCCACCCGAGACUCAGUGAAAUUGAACUCGCUGUGAAGAUGCAGUGUACCCGCGGCAAGACGGAAAGACCCCGUGAACCUUUACUAUAGCUUGACACUGAACAUUGAGCCUUGAUGUGUAGGAUAGGUGGGAGGCUUUGAAGCGUGGACGCCAGUCUGCGUGGAGCCAACCUUGAAAUACCACCCUUUAAUGUUUGAUGUUCUAACGUUGGCCCCUUACCGGGGUUGCGGACAGUGUCUGGUGGGUAGUUUGACUGGGGCGGUCUCCUCCCAAAGCGUAACGGAGGAGCACGAAGGUUAGCUAAUCCUGGUCGGACAUCAGGAGGUUAGUGCAAUGGCAUAAGCUAGCUUGACUGCGAGCGUGACGGCGCGAGCAGGUGCGAAAGCAGGUCAUAGUGAUCCGGUGGUUCUGAAUGGAAGGGCCAUCGCUCAACGGAUAAAAGGUACUCCGGGGAUAACAGGCUGAUACCGCCCAAGAGUUCAUAUCGACGG